CCCUAAGUUUCUGCCGACUAAACUGUGCACACGUUCUCAGGACCUCCUGAAGCUGCGUCACAGGCACUAAUCAAAGAACACAACCAAGAGUUUGGCCUUUUCUUCAGCACUGGGAAUUGUGAUCCAAAGCUUUCCCGGAUGAAGCACAAAGUUGGAGAAACAAAACGCAAACUAAACAACAACAAUGAAACAGAACAGAGUUAAUCUGCUGUAGCUCAAGAGAGGACGUACCUGCCCCCACCCCGCAUCCCUGGGCUCGGGUUUGCCUUGCUGACCUCUGCUGCCACCAGGUGCCACACAGAGAAACUGAGGAGAAACCACAUCAGUCUCCUUCAGCCUCAGCUUCACAUCUGUGGGUCAAGUAACACUUUCAGAAGCUGUAUAAUGUGGGAAAGCUUUCCUCUCAGGAAAAUGCACACAUCCAACUUUGAGAAGAUGCCCUUGGGGGCGCUUCAAGGAUCCUAGAUAAAGAACCCCCUUUCCCGAACAUCCAAGAACCUAAGUUUUUUUUUUUUUUUUUUUUUGAGAAAGUCUCGCUCUCUCUCCCAGUCUGGAGUGCAGUGGCGUGAUCUUGGCUCCCUGCAAGCUCCACCUCCCAGGUUCACGCCAUUCUCCUGCCUCAGCCUCCCGAGUAGCUGGGGCUACAGGCACCUGCCACCACACCCGGCUAAUUUUUUUGUAUUUUUAGUAGAGACGGGGUUUCACCGUGUUAGCCAGGAUCUUCUUGAUCUCCUGACCUUGUGAUCCACCCGCCUCGGCCUCCCAAAGUGCUGGGAUUACAGGUGUGAGCCACCGCACCUGGUCCAAGAACCCAAGUUUUAGAUCUAGAGUGAUGUCAGCAUGACAUUGAUUUCCUGAGGCCCAGGGGUGAAGGAGCUGAGGACAGCAGAGGGGUGAAGGAACUCAGCUACAGACAGCAGCAGCUGAUGCACAGGCCUCCCAGCGCCUGAAGUCACCCGGAAUUGGGAAGUGCUCAGAAGCUUACAAAGCUGCCUCGAGAUGGAAUUUUACUGUGUCAAGAAGCAUUGAAUGCUGAGCGGGAGCUAUGUCAUCCAGAUACAGAUCUCUGCAGAUUUGAUGCUACAG